AACGAACGCUGGCGGCAGGCUUAACACAUGCAAGUCGAACGCCCCGCAAGGGGAGUGGCAGACGGGUGAGUAACGCGUGGGGACAUACCCUUUCCUGCGGAAUAGCUCCGGGAAACUGGAAUUAAUACCGCAUACGCCCUACGGGGGAAAGAUUUAUCGGGGAAGGAUUGGCCCGCGUUGGAUUAGCUAGUUGGUGGGGUAAAGGCCUACCAAGGCGACAAUCCAUAGCUGGUCUGAGAGGAUGAUCAGCCACAUUGGGACUGAGACACGGCCCAAACUCCUACGGGAGGCAGCAGUGGGGAAUAUUGGACAAUGGGCGCAAGCCUGAUCCAGCCAUGCCGCGUGAGUGAUGAAGGCCUUAGGGUUGUAAAGCUCUUUCACCGAUGAAGAUAAUGACGGUAGUCGGAGAAGAAGCCCCGGCUAACUUCGUG
rnacentral:rRNA from 1 species